GGCGAACGGGUGAGUAACGCGUGAGCAAUCUACCUUAGUUACAGGGAUAGCCCGAGGAAACUCGGAUUAAUACCUGAUAUUCUUUAUUUCUCGCAUGAGAAUAAAAGGAAAGGUCAGCCGAACUAAGAUGAGCUCGCGUUCUAUCAGCUAGUUGGUGAGGUAAAAGCUCACCAAGGCUACGACGGAUAGCUGGCCUGAGAGGACGAUCAGCCACACUGGGACUGAGACACGGCCCAGACUCCUACGGGAGGCUGCAGCAGGGAAUAUUGUGCAAUGAACGAAAGUUUGACACAGCGACACCGCGUGUGGGAUGACGGAUCUAGGUUUGUAAACCACUUUCAGGAGGGAAGAAAAUGACGGUACCUCCAUAAGAAGCCCCGGCCAACUACGUGCCAGCAGCCGCGGUAAUACGUAGGGGGCGAGCGUUGUCCGGAUUUAUUGGGCGUAAAGAGCUCGUAGGCGGUUCAACAAGUCGGUCGUGAAAGUUCAGGGCUCAACCCUGAAAUGUCGAUCGAUACUGUUGUGACUAGGAUACGGUAGAGGUGAGUGGAAUUCCGAGUGUAGCGGUGAAAUGCGUAGAUAUUCGGAGGAACACCAAUUGCGAAGGCAGCUCACUGGGCCGCUAUCGACGCUGAGGAGCGAAAGCUAGGGGAGCAAACAGGAUUAGAUACCCUGGUAGUCCUAGCUGUAAACGAUGGAUACUAGACGUAGGAACUGGAUUGACGGUUUCUGUGUCGUAGCUAACGCGUUAAGUAUCCC
rnacentral:rRNA from 1 species